rnacentral:sRNA from 1 species
UUUUUGUAGCAUAUGUCACCAUUUCCACUCCCCAGUGACAAGCACAAAGCCAUCUAGAGCACAUCCUGCUUGUCCUUUGGGGCAUCUCUGUCAUGUGCUUAUAGUCACUCCUCUCCAUCUAUGUUAUACUGAUCUUACCCCAAGCCUCUUUCAUGUUGCGCUUUGUAAUGAAUUUCCAACUGCUCACCCUUUCUGAUGGACAAACCGCCCCUCAUAUCUUCCAAGAGAGACGACUGAGACAUGAACUGGAGGAGGGGAGAGACGACUAGGCGGGUGAAGUGCAUAGCUGGAGACUCACAGCAGGGAGUAUGAUGGAAGGUCUGAUCUUCAUGUUGGAAUAACUAACACAAAUGGGGUUGUGUAUAAUUACAGUGCACAUGGUGUCCAGCGAGACGGAGAAGGGUGGGAAGAGAGCAUAAGCAUCCCAUUACUGCAGCCCAACAUGUAUGGAAUGAUGGAGCAAUGGGACAAGUACCUGGAAGACUUCUCCACCUCGGGGGCCUGGCUGCCUCACAGGUAUGAAGACAACCACCAUAACUGCUACUCUUACGCACUCACGUUCAUUAACUGCGUUCUGAUGGCAGAAGGUAGACAGCAACUGGACAAGGGUGAAUUUACAGAGAAAGCAAUGAAAAUUAUUCCUAUAAAUUAAUGUGAGCUGAACAAAUUCACCUUCCAAUGUGCAUACAGAAAGUGGGGAUGUGAAGACAGCAAGUGACUAUAAGACGUGUGAUGGCCCAAGACUGAAUCAAGAAGCAGAUGCAAGAAUCUAGCUGACUUUCAGGAAAUUAGACCUUA